GAUGAACGCUGGCGGCGUGCUUAACACAUGCAAGUCGAACGAUGAAGCCCAGCUUGCUGGGUGGAUUAGUGGCGAACGGGUGAGUAACACGUGAGUAACCUGCCCUUAACUCUGGGAUAAGCCUGGGAAACUGGGUCUAAUACCGGAUAGGAGCGUCCACCGCAUGGUGGGUGUUGGAAAGAUUUAUCGGUUUUGGAUGGACUCGCGGCCUAUCAGCUUGUUGGUGAGGUAAUGGCUCACCAAGGCGACGACGGGUAGCCGGCCUGAGAGGGUGACCGGCCACACUGGGACUGAGACACGGCCCAGACUCCUACGGGAGGCAGCAGUGGGGAAUAUUGCACAAUGGGCGCAAGCCUGAUGCAGCGACGCCGCGUGGGGGAUGACGGCCUUCGGGUUGUAAACCUCUUUCAGUAGGGAAGAAGCGAAAGUGACGGUACCUGCAGAAGAAGCACCGGCUAACUACGUG
rnacentral:rRNA from 1 species